rnacentral:rRNA from 1 species
AUUGAACGCUGGCGGCAGGCCUAACACAUGCAAGUCGAACGAGUGGCGGACGGGUGAGUAAUGUCUGGGAAACUGCCUGAUGGAGGGGGAUAACUACUGGAAACGGUAGCUAAUACCGCAUACCAUCGGAUGUGCCCAGAUGGGAUUAGCUAGUAGGUGGGGUAACGGCUCACCUAGGCGACGAUCCCUAGCUGGUCUGAGAGGAUGACCAGCCACACGGGAACUGAGACACGGUCCAGACUCCUACGGGAGGCAGCAGUGGGGAAUAUUGCACAAUGGGCGAAAGCCUGAUCCAGCCAUGCCGCGUGUACGAAGAAGGCCUUCGGGUUGUAAAGCACUUUCAGCGGGGAGGCGUUACCUGCAGAAGAAGCACCGGCUAACUCCGUGCCAGCAGCCGCGGUAAUAC